rnacentral:rRNA from 1 species
AACGAACGCUGGCGGCGUGCUUAACACAUGCAAGUCGAACGGUAAGGCCCUUCGGGGUACACGAGUGGCGAACGGGUGAGUAACACGUGGGUGAUCUGCCCUGCACUUCGGGAUAAGCCUGGGAAACUGGGUCUAAUACCGGAUAGGACCACUGCCUGCAUGGGUGGUGGUGGAAAGCUUUUGCGGUGUGGGAUGGGCCCGCGGCCUAUCAGCUUGUUGGUGGGGUGAUGGCCUACCAAGGCGACGACGGGUAGCCGGCCUGAGAGGGUGACCGGCCACACUGGGACUGAGAUACGGCCCAGACUCCUACGGGAGGCAGCAGUGGGGAAUAUUGCACAAUGGGCGCAAGCCUGAUGCAGCGACGCCGCGUGAGGGAUGACGGCCUUCGGGUUGUAAACCUCUUUCAGCACCGACGAAGCGCAAGUGACGGUAGGUGCAGAAGAAGGACCGGCCAAUUACGUGCCAGCCGCCGCCGUAAUAC